CUUCUCUCCCUCUCUCUCUCUCUCUCUCCCUCUCUCCCCCCCUCUCUCUCUUCCUCUCUCCUCUCUGUCUCUCUUUUUGCCAUCUACAUGAUCCUUGAUUAAACAUGGAACAGAGUUAAUAAAAAGGGUGGGGGGGAGACUCAAGGAGAGGAAAUGCAACUGUCAGAAAUCAGGACGGCCAGAUUUCCUGGUGAACCUGCCUCUGUCUGAGUCAGUGUCAAUCCACCAUCUUCUGCCAGUGAACUUGUCUUUGGGUUUUUGUUUGGUGUGUGUGUGGGGGGGGAUGUUGUUGUGUGUGUGUGUAUGUGUGUGUGUGCUUUUUUUGGAAGGGGGGAGGGGAAAGACAAAGUGGGGGCCGGAGGUGGGGGGAAGAGUAGGGAGAAUGUGUGUCUGUGAGUGUGUGUUGAGUGUGAGUGUGUCUCUGUGUGUGUAGGGGUCGAGGUGGGGGGGGUCCGUGUUUGCGAUCUGAACCUUUGGUACCUACAAGGAGGGUGUCUCACCGAACGGUAGCUAAAACCUCACCAGAACCGCGCGGAAGUGAGAAGUCGCGGCCAAAGGCGCCCGCAGAAGCCUCCUCUCUGGGCCGGACCCCAGCCCGAGCGGCCGAAAGGAGCCCCCCGCCCGGAUCACAGCUGCUGCAGCUGCCGCUGAAAUUCGCUGUGGCCGCUGCCUCUUCCCGCUUUAAUCCCAGACCUCCAGUCAUUGGGCAGCUCCUCAGAGGCAAGAAGUCAACACCAUGGCAACCCGACAAGCCUAUCAAAUCACCGGCUGGCGUGACAGCAGCAACACUGCAGGCAGGAGUGGGCUGGGCGGAAGAGCAGAGUGGCCACUGCGCUCAGAAGUUUACAAGGAAAGGGGAAAUGUCUGAAAUGGAGAUUGCACAAUCCUGUCUUGAAGCAGAAGACUCAGCUAGAGCACAUCUGGAAACACCUGGCACUCCUCAAUAGAAUUCAAAUGCUAUUUUAAAAGAGUCCAUUUCUAAGAAGAUGUGGUUCGAACAUACAGAGCUACAUAAUAUGAGUAAAAUAGGACCUAACAGUAGUGUUCUCCAGCAUUGCUCUGCCUUUCCUUUUCUGGAUGUAACAACAUUACUAAGAAAGGAAGAAAAAGCAAAAAUCUGCUCUCGGGGAGAUUCCAGAAUGUUGGAAAGCCCCAAAUGGAAGUCUCUGCUUUGGUUACAGGACAUAAGGUUUAAUAAAUAAAAAGAUGCUCAUCUGGGAUGCUGCACCAAUUAUCAUGUACUAAAUAAGGUUACCUACUUCACUCUCCAGGUAGAAAUGUCUAUCAUAAGCAUGUGCCACAGAAGGUCUCUCAAGUAUCAUUAUUGGCUGUGUUGAAUUUUGUUUUUAGUUCUCUUUUAUAAGGUCUGUAGUCUUACUUUCAGUGAGGAAGUGUUUUCUCAGGUUCUCAAGAAAGUAACAAAAUGCCAGCAUUGUCAAGGUCACCAUUGCCACUGAAUUAUCUUACUGUCUGAUUAUUCCAUCUUCCUCUGCAUCAUAUUAGCCUGAUGACUACAUUCUAAUUAUUUAAAGCGUUAUGUAAAUCAAAGCAGUAAAUGUAAUUUCUAGUCUUACUAGAUAUCAUGUACAUUAGGUCGAAUAACUCUAGAAAUGUCGUCAUAAUCAUGUCAUGCCUAAUGAUGACCUACUCAGCCCCUGCCAACAUCAUUCAAUUACUCAUUUCAGUAUUGAUUUUUCUCAUGCCUCUCUUCGUGGCAUUUAAACAGCCCUCACAUCUCCCCUUUUACUGAGGUGUAAUGUUGUAUAAUGACAGAGAUGCUUUGCUUCCCAGAUUCAUAAUGUUACACUCUGUUUCAAAUCCUUUUGGAGACAAAUUGGGGAAUCAAUAUAUAAAUAAUGACACACUUAUUUUUAAUUAAAAUCACUGCUUUCACAGAAAUGGUAUAUUAAAAUUAUUUUUGCUAAAAAAAUUUUAAAUACCUAUGUACGAUAAAAAGACUGCCAAUCCUUGGGAUCAAGAAUAUAAUUUGCCCCAAAUAACUUUUCUGUAAAAGUAGAAUUCUUAAUGGAAAAUAGAUUAAUACAUAUAAUUUCAAGAUCUAACCUUAAAAAUGGAAAUAAUGUGUCCAUUUUUAAAAAUAAAUCAUAUUUACAUACACUGUGUUUAUGAGAGUUGUUUUGGAAUGAAACUUCUUUGCAUUUGAGAUCAAAUUCUUUUAUUCACAAGAAUUACAUUAUCUUUUUCAGCUGAAUGUUAUGUUAUACUCUUCCAAAAUCUAUUUUCCCUGCACUCAAGUAGCGGUAAAUAUUCUUUUUUUUUUCUGGAAAUUGAUAGUCUAAUUUUCUCCUGCCUCUCUUUGGCACACCCUCAUUUUGCAUGAGAUAUGCUCCUUAAUAAAAUUUCUACUCAAUAUUACAGAAACUUCCAGAAAUGGCAUCUAAAAUAUUACACUGGCCCGUUUAACUUCACCUUCACUAAUUGCAAUACAUUAUACAAAGAGCACUGUGGACAAAGGUGGAAUAUUUAACUAACUGGAUUUGGUUUCACAAACAGUAAUAAGACUUUUAAAAACAUUAUUAGAGCAUUUAUUUCAUCUCCUUUGCAAUAUAUUUUUCUUCCUUUUAAACUAGGCUUUCUAAAUUCUCAU
rnacentral:lncRNA from 10 species